rnacentral:rRNA from 1 species
AGCGGUAGCACAGAGAGCUUGCUCUCGGGUGACGAGCGGCGGACGGGUGAGUAAUGUCUGGGAAACUGCCUGAUGGAGGGGGAUAACUACUGGAAACGGUAGCUAAUACCGCAUAAUGUCGCAAGACCAAAGUGGGGGACCUUCGGGCCUCAUGCCAUCAGAUGUGCCCAGAUGGGAUUAGCUAGUAGGUGGGGUAACGGCUCACCUAGGCGACGAUCCCUAGCUGGUCUGAGAGGAUGACCAGCCACACUGGAACUGAGACACGGUCCAGACUCCUACGGGAGGCAGCAGUGGGGAAUAUUGCACAAUGGGCGCAAGCCUGAUGCAGCCAUGCCGCGUGUGUGAAGAAGGCCUUCGGGUUGUAAAGCACUUUCAGCGGGGAGGAAGGCGGUGAGGUUAAUAACCUUGUCGAUUGACGUUACCCGCAGAAGAAGCACCGGCUAACUCCGUGCCAGCAGCCGCGGUAAUACGGAGGGUGCAAGCGUUAAUCGGAAUUACUGGGCGUAAAGCGCACGCAGGCGGUCUGUCAAGUCGGAUGUGAAAUCCCCGGGCUCAACCUGGGAACUGCAUUCGAAACUGGCAGGCUAGAGUCUUGUAGAGGGGGGUAGAAUUCCAGGUGUAGCGGUGAAAUGCGUAGAGAUCUGGAGGAAUACCGGUGGCGAAGGCGGCCCCCUGGACAAAGACUGACGCUCAGGUGCGAAAGCGUGGGGAGCAAACAGGAUUAGAUACCCUGGUAGUCCACGCCGUAAACGAUGUCGAUUUGGAGGUUGUGCCCUUGAGGCGUGGCUUCCGGGAGCUAACGCGUUAAAUCGACCGCCUGGGGAGUACGGCCGCAAGGUUAAAACUCAAAUGAAUUGACGGGGCCCGCACAAGCGGUGGAGCAUGGGGUUUAAUUCGAUGCAACGCGAAGAACCCUUACCUGGUCUGA